UACGUAGGGGGCAAGCGUUGUCCGGAUUUAUUGGGCGUAAAGAGCGUGUAGGCGGCUUGGUAGGUCUCGCGUCAAAACCUGAGGCUCAACCUCAGUUCGCGUGGGAAACCACCUAGCUAGAGUCCGGAAGAGGAGAACGGAAUUCCCAGUGUAGCGGUGAAAUGCGCAGAUAUUGGGAAGAACACCAGUGGCGAAGGCGGUUCUCUGGGACGGUACUGACGCUGAGAGACGAAAGCUAGGGGAGCGAAUGGG
rnacentral:rRNA from 1 species